ACAGUUGCUUAGGCUCUUUAGGGU
rnacentral:siRNA from 1 species